AAAACAGUGAUAACCUGCCCUUGGGACCGGCAUAACCCCGGGAAACUGGGGAUAAUUCCGGAUAACGCAUAUUUGCUGGAAUGCUUUAUGCGUCAAAAGGAUUCGUCUGCCCAAGGAUGGGUCUGCGGCCUAUCAGGUAGUAGUGGGUGUAAUGUACCUACUAGCCAGCGACGGGUACGGGUUGUGAGAGCAAGAGCCCGGAGAUGGAUUCUGAGACAUGAAUCCAGGCCCUACGGGGCGCAGCAGGCGCGAAAACUUUACAAUGCGGGAAACCGUGAUAAGGGGACACCGAGUGCCAGCAUCAUAUGCUGGCUGUCCGGAUGUGUAAAAUACAUCCGUUAGCAAGGGCCGGGCAAGACCGGUGCCAGCCGCCGCGGUAACACCGGCGGCCCGAGUGGUGAUCGUGAUUAUUGGGUCUAAAGGGUCCGUAGCCGGUUUGGUCAGUCCUCCGGGAAAUCUGAUAGCUCAACUAUUAGGCUUUCGGGGGAUACUGCCAGACUUGGAACCGGGAGAGGUAAGAGGUACUACAGGGGUAGGAGUGAAAUCUUGUAAUCCCUGUGGGACCACCUGUGGCGAAGGCGUCUUACCAGAACGGGUUCGACGGUGAGGGACGAAAGCUGGGGGCACGAACCGGAUUAGAUACCCGGGUAGUCCCAGCCGUAAACGAUGCUCGCUAGGUGUCAGGCAUGGCGCGACCGUGUCUGGUGCCGCAGGGAAGCCGUGAAGCGAGCCACCUGGGAAGUACGGCCGCAAGGCUGAAACUUAAAGGAAUUGGCGGGGGAGCACAACAACGGGUGGAGCCUGCGGUUUAAUUGGACUCAACGCCGGACAACUCACCGGGGGCGACAGCAAUAUGUAGGCCAAGCUGAAGACUUUGCCUGAAUCGCUGAGAGGAGGUGCAUGGCCGUCGCCAGUUCGUACUGUGAAGCAUCCUGUUAAGUCAGGCAACGAGCGAGACCCGUGCCCACUGUUACCAGCAUGUCCUCCGGGACGAUGGGUACUCUGUGGGGACCGCCGAUGUUAAAUCGGAGGAAGGUGCGGGCCACGGUAGGUCAGUAUGCCCCGAAUCUCCCGGGCUACACGCGGGCUACAAUGGAUGGGACAAUGGGUCCCUCCCCUGAAAAGGGCUGGUAAUCUCACAAACCCAUUCGUAGUUCGGAUCGAGGGCUGUAACUCGCCCUCGUGAAGCUGGAAUCCGUAGUAAUCGCGUUCAA
rnacentral:rRNA from 1 species